AUAAUCCACGUAAAUUUGACCUAGAUUUGUAUAUCAGCUUGUAUAUCACUGUCGUAAGAUUAUUUUAUGAGAAAUUUUUCAAUAAUAAAUUUUUAUUUAUGUCAAGUCAAGGUGCAGUAAAUGUUUAGGGUUGAGAUGGGUUACAAUAUAGGAAUAUAUACGAAUAURAGUUUGUAAUAUUUAUUGAAGGUGGAUUUGAUUGUAAUAUAGGGUUAUUUACUUUAUAUGGAAAA
rnacentral:rRNA from 1 species